GAAAUAAGGUUAAGGAACAAAGGGCACACAGUGGAUGCCUUGGCACCAAGAGGCGAUGAAGGACGGAACUAACACCGAAAUGCUCGGGGAAGCUGUAAGUAAGCGACGAUUCCGAGAUGUCCGAAUGGGGGAACCCACUAUGUUGAAGACAUAGUAUCUAACACACGUGUUAGAGGAAAUACGUAGGGAACUGAAAUAUCUAAGUACCUACAGGAAAAGAAAGUAAUAACGA
rnacentral:rRNA from 1 species